rnacentral:rRNA from 1 species
UACGUAGGGUGCAAGCGUUGUCCGGAAUUAUUGGGCGUAAAGAGCUCGUAGGUGGUUUGUCGCGUUGUUCGUGAAAACUCACAGCUCAACUGUGGGCGUGCGGGCGAUACGGGCAGACUUGAGUACUGCAGGGGAGACUGGAAUUCCUGGUGUAGCGGUGGAAUGCGCAGAUAUCAGGAGGAACACCGGUGGCGAAGGCGGGUCUCUGGGCAACAACUGACGCUGAGGAGCGAAAGCGUGGGGAGCGAACAGG